GAUGAACGCUGACAGAAUGCUUAACACAUGCAAGUCUUUGGCGAAGCUGUGCUUGCACAGCCUAGCCAGGCGGACGGGUGAGUAACGCGUAAGGAACUUGCCCUGCAGUCAGGGAUAACAGACGGAAACGACUGAUAAGACCUGGUAAAGUCAGGCGGACUCAUGUCCAGCCUGAUGAAAAGAGAUGCUGCAGGAGAGCCUUGCGUCCUAUUAGCUUGUUGGUGGGGUAACGGCCCACCAAGGCGAUGAUAGGUAGCCGGCCUGAGAGGGUGGACGGCCACAAGGGGACUGAGAUACGGCCCUUACUCCUACGGGAGGCAGCAGUGGGGAAUAUUGGACAAUGGGGGCAACCCUGAUCCAGCAAUUCUGUGUGCACGAUGAAGGUUUUCGGAUUGUAAAGUGCUUUCAGCAGGGAAGAAAAAAAUGACGGUACCUGCAGAAGAAGCGACGGCUAAAUACGUGCCAGCAGCCGCGGUAAUACGUAUGUCGCAAGCGUUAUCCGGAAUUAUUGGGCAUAAAGGGCAUCUAGGCGGCCAGAUAAGUCUGGGGUGAAAACUUGCGGCUCAACCGCAAGCCUGCCCUGGAAACUAUGUGGCUAGAGUACUGGAGAGGUGGACGGAACUGCACGAGUAGAGGUGAAAUUCGUAGAUAUGUGCAGGAAUGCCGAUGAUGAAGAUAGUUCACUGGACGGUAACUGACGCUGAAGUGCGAAAGCUAGGGGAGCAAACAGG
rnacentral:rRNA from 1 species